rnacentral:rRNA from 1 species
AGAGUUUGAUCAUGGCUCAGGAUGAACGCUAGCGGCAGGCUUAACACAUGCAAGUCGAACGGUAACAGGAAUUAGCUUGCUAAUUUGCUGACGAGUGGCGCACGGGUGCGUAACGCGUAUACAAUCUACCUUUUACAGUGGGAUAGCCCAGAGAAAUUUGGAUUAAUACCGCAUAGUAUUAUUAGUUGGCAUCGACUGAUAAUUAAAGUUUCGGCGGUAAAAGAUGAGUAUGCGUUCUAUUAGCUAGAUGGUAAGGUAACGGCUUACCAUGGCAACGAUAGAUAGGGGCCCUGAGAGGGGGAUCCCCCACACUGGUACUGAGACACGGACCAGACUCCUACGGGAGGCAGCAGUGAGGAAUAUUGGACAAUGGGCGCAAGCCUGAUCCAGCCAUGCCGCGUGCAGGAAGACUGCCCUAUGGGUUGUAAACUGCUUUUAUACAGGAAGAAACACCCCGACGUGUCGGGACUUGACGGUACUGUAAGAAUAAGGAUCGGCUAACUCCGUGCCAGCAGCCGCGGUAAUACGGAGGAUCCAAGCGUUAUCCGGAAUCAUUGGGUUUAAAGGGUCCGUAGGUGGAUAAUUAAGUCAGGGGUGAAAGUCUGCAGCUCAACUGUAGAAUUGCCUUUGAUACUGGUUAUCUUGAGUUAUUAUGAAGUAGUUAGAAUAUGUAGUGUAGCGGUGAAAUGCAUAGAUAUUACAUAGAAUACCAAUUGCGAAGGCAGAUUACUAAUAAUAUACUGACACUGAUGGACGAAAGCGUGGGGAGCGAACAGGAUUAGAUACCCUAGUAGUCC